AGCAAGUGCACUCUGUGUCACAAUGAUUAAACAACAACACAUGUGAAGACAAUUUUGAAGCUUGCCAGAUUAAUUUACUAUAUCUAUAUGAGAAGUGCCUUCAGCUUAUCCGUGUGGCAGGGGAAAUAAUUUGAAGCAACUUGCCACAUUGAAUCUGGGUACAACAAAGU